rnacentral:misc_RNA from 1 species
CGCAGCCGCGGUAAUUCCAGCUCCAAUAGCGUAUAUUAAAGUUGUUGCAGUUAAAAAGCUCGUAGUUGAAUUUCGGGGUUAGUAGGCUGGUCAUGCCUCUGGUAUGUACUGGCCUCACUGAUUCCUCCUUCCUGAUGAACCUUAAUGCCAUUAAUUUGGUGUUUUGGGGAAUUUGGACUGUUACUUUGAAAAAAUUAGAGUGCUUAAAGCAAGCUAACGCUUGAAUACAUUAGCAUGGAAUAAUGAAAUAGGACGUUCGAUCCUAUUUUGUUGGUUUCUAGGAUUGACGUAAUGAUUAAUAGGGAUAGUUGGGGGCAUUAGUAUUCAAUUGUCAGAGGUGAAAUUCUUGGAUUUAUUGAAGACUAACUACUGCGAAAGCAUUUGCCAAGGAUGCUUUCAUUAAUCAAGAACGAAAGUUAGGGGAUCGAAGACGAUCAGAUACCGUCGUAGUCUUAACCAUAAACUAUGCCGACUAGGGAUCGGAUGAUGUUAAUUUUUUUAAUGACUCAUUCGGCGCCUU